GUCUGCACUUGUCGGGGAAGGGUGAGAAGCUUCGACUAAGGUUCGAUUCGAGCGCAGCGAGAAAGCGUUGCCGCAGGCAACGACCCGAAGGGCGAAGCGCGCAGCGCUGAGUCAUCCUUCCCCCACCACCA
rnacentral:sRNA from 2 species